AUUGAACGCUGGCGGCAUGCCUUACACAUGCAAGUCGAACGGCAGCACGGGUGCUUGCACCUGGUGGCGAGUGGCGAACGGGUGAGUAAUACAUCGGAACAUGUCCUGUAGUGGGGGAUAGCCGGGCGAAAGCCGGAUUAAUACCGCAUACGAUCUACGGAUGAAAGCGGGGGACCUUCGGGCCUCGCGCUAUAGGGUUGGCCGAUGGCUGAUUAGCUGGUUGGUGGGGUAAAGGCCUACCAAGGCGACGAUCAGUAGAUGGUCUGAGAGGACGACCAGCCACACUGGGACUGAGACACGGCCCAGACUCCUACGGGAGGCAGCAGUGGGGAAUUUUGGACAAUGGGCGAAAGCCUGAUCCAGCAAUGCCGCGUGUGUGAAGAAGGCCUUCGGGUUGUAAAGCACUUUUGUCCGGAAAGAAAUCCUUGGCUCUAAUACAGUCGGGGGAUGACGGUACCGGAAGAAUAAGCACCGGCUAACUACGUG
rnacentral:rRNA from 1 species